rnacentral:lncRNA from 10 species
AGGCUGGAGUGCAGUGGCGCCAUCUCAGCUCACUGCAACCGCCGCCUCCCGGGUUCAAGCAAUUCUCUGCCUCCGCCUCCCGACCAGCUGGGAUUACAGUGACGCGCCACCAUGCCCGGCUAAUUUUUGUAUUUUUAGCAGAGACGGGGUUUCACCAUCUUGCCCAGGCUGCUCUUUAACUCCUGACCUCGUGAUCCACCCACCUCGGGCUCCCAAGGUGCUGGGAUUACAGGCGUGAGCCACCGCGCCCGGCCAAAACAAACACUUUUACGACAAUUGAAAAAUAGAAGUUUCCAAUUCAAUUUUGCAACUAAAAAAUAAUAAUAAUGUGGUGCCUUCAUGUUAAACUUUGGAAAAAGCCAGGGAAGUGGCUUGCUCUGGUGAAUAAAUUCUGUAGACCCUUAAGGCUGUUCGCAGCGUACACCAAGACUUCCGAGGCAAGUGGGGGCUCCCCCUGGCGGCUGCGCCGGGUGGCUGCUCCGGGAUUGUGCGGACCUCCGAGCUACACCGUCUCCAACCAACAGAAGCCAGCAGGAACCUGCCUUAGAUGUGGGAAUGAGACAACACAACUUCUCCCAUAGGCCUGGUGGUCAGAGAGGCUGGAUCAAGAAUCUCCACAGCCCAGCGAGAAGCCACGCGAACACACCCCUGUGUGGGUAUCCGUGACCUGGCGGCCUGCAGAACUCCUGGGCCAGAGACGUCCUCAUCCUGUUGGAAUAUCCAGAAAGAGAGGCGGAACAAGAAAAACUGGUGAUCCACUAAUAAGAAGGCCCUGGAGCCUCUCGAUGUUUAAUCUUCUCAAGGGAUGAGAAUGUGUCUCGUACUUCUCAGCAUCUGAAACGCAGCCUUCGCUAAUGGGUCAGUUUCACUGGACGUACUCCCAGGAUCAUAGAUGGCAGCCGGGGAAGGCAGUGAGGGUGGAAAUGUCUCACUAGGCUGAAUUGAAGUGAGGCCUACCCGUUGCCUCCUUUGCAUGUGUUUAAGUAUUAGAAGAAUCUAGUAAUUUGCCCAUAAGAGAUAAUCAAACAAGAAAACAAAGGUGUAUGUGCAAAGAUUUGAAUCUUAGCUUUAUUUGAAAUAACAGAAAAUUGGAAGUCAAUUCAUGUCCAUCAGCGUGGGGCUGGCCACCUGCCAAUUCAUGUCCAUUUCCCUGGAGGGAAAUGACCCAACCAUGGAGAGAACGAUGUUCACUGAUUGCAUUGGCGUGGCAAGAACUCCAUGGCAUGUUGCAUCAUGAAGAAAGCUGCCCCGCAAAAUGAGAUGCGAUUGACGUUGAUGUGUCUGUACUUGUGCAAAGAGAGAUUUGGGAAAGGAAGUUUACUGAAGUGUUAACAAUGGGUUACAAGUUUUGAAGUGAUUUUAAUUUCUUUUUUUUUAAGUUUCUGUUAGGCUGGGAUUUUCCCCAUAGAUAUGCAUCAUCUAUGUCAGCAAUCCCCAACCUUUUGGGCACCAGGACAGGUUUCGUGAAAGACAAUUUUUCCACGGACCAGGAGUGGGAGGGACGGUUUCAGGAUGAUUCAAGCACAUUACGUUUAUCAUUAGAUUCUCACAAGGAGCAUGCAAGCUAGAUCCCUUGCAUGCCCAGUUCACAAUAGGGUUCGUGCUCCUAUGAGAAUCUGAUGUUGCCACUGGUCUGACAGGAGGUGGAGCUCAGCUUCGCUCACUUGCCCCACCACUCACCUCCUGCUGUGCAGCCCAGUUCCUAACAGGCCACAGACCAGUAUACCAGUCUGUCACCUGGGGGUUGGGGAUCCCUGAUUUUUGUAAUUGGAAGUAAAGUUGUUCGCAUUACUUUAAAAUAAAGACAGUACCAUCGUUAUAAAGUAUUCUCUAAGUGCAAUCAUAGGGAAAAGUUCUGCUGAAAACUCUAGGGAUGGUUAGUCGUUUUAGGGAAAUACGGGGAACUAGAUGGAUUCUGGUUUUUAUUUAUCUUCCUUCAAAACAGCUACUAGUAAUCUGCAGAAAAGAUGCAUGGGAAAUAAACCAGGAAAACUGAGCCCAAAGUGAGGUGCAAAGGUUCUAAAAGGAUCAGUGGUCAAUGAUGUCGUGGCAUGUAUCAGCUGAAUCCAAAGUUGAUGUGAGUUCCAAAAUUAUACUGAGACUUUGGGGGAAAACAAAGGCUCAGCUAUGCUCAUCCAUCAGAUUUCAGUUCCUUCAUCAGUUCCUUGAGUGGCCACCACUUCUACUGUGAUAAGUCACCACUGACCUGGGCCACUGCUCUGUUCUCAUCACAGUUACAAGACGUUGGAGGAAACACCAGAGCCUAUACAGGGAUGGUUGAUUGUGAGAAAAGCGACACCCCUCUGCUGGAGUGUCUGGCCCCAGGGCAGGCAGAAGGAGCUUCGCUUCCUGAGCAUCCUGAACAAAGAGUUCAGUUGGAGAUGGGACCGCCAAUGUCACCUUACCAAGGAGAACAGAGAGCUGCAGCUGCCUCCAUGGCAGCGAUACCUCCAGGUCACUGUGGCAGCAGGAGUGACUGGGGCUGGAGAGAAAUGACUGCCCCUGGGCUGCGGGACAUUUGCACAUUUGCAGUAGGAAGUGCAGAGGGCUUCAUGCCCGAGAGCUGCUGA